ensembl:snRNA U5 U5 spliceosomal RNA
AUACUCUGGCUUCACCUCAGUUUGAAUAAAUUGCCUUUUACUAAAGAUUUCUGCGGGGAGGAGCAUUUAUAAGUUUCUAACUGAUUUUUUCCAGGUCCUGCUUCAGUAGGACU